GUGCAACGCGCUGCGGUGAGAGGCGGAGUCCCGGUAGUGCUGCUCUGAGCAGAGCGGCUCAACGAAGCGACAAGAAGGGAGAACUGGAGGCAGGAAGCCUGUUGAAACUGCGUAAUCGGAGAUCAGCCAUCGCGGAAAGGAGCCUUUCAGCACUGGGCCAGUGGCGCAAUGGAUAACGCGUCUGACUACGGAUCAGAAGAUUCUAGCGCCCCUGUUCUUAAAGCUGCGCUGGAGUCUGUUCACCAGUACAGUUAAGAAAACACUCCUGAGAGUGGAGGUUCGCAAUCAGGGACGUGCGUGGCCGGUGUCUUUCCACCCGAUGACGGAAGAGCUGACCGAAGGCUCCCUGCAAGUGGAACACAGGCGGCACUGAGGCGAGAAAGGCGCUGCUUCUGCUCUGCAGCGCAGUGGCGGGGCAGGAAACCCAGGGACGCUACAGGCGGCCUUGGCUAGUUCUGCCAGCAAAGCCAACCUGGCCUCCAUUCCACAAGGAGACCUUAAAACUUCAGGGAUUUCACAGUAAGAGACCCAGAAAAGCGAGAGCAUGACGAUUCAUUUUACGCGACACCAGAGAUGGUUGUGACAAAAAGGGGCUCAGUCUAUUUAUUUAACCAGUCAUUCUAUGAUUAUGUCCUAGAUAGCAUAAUCUAACUCCCCAAGCGUUUAUUUAAAAUGUGCCAAAUACAGGAAAUUGUUAGGGACAGAAAUAGAGCCGGGGUAAGGGGUGUGACUCACACUUGCAGCGCUGACUGACCAGGAUGUAGACUGGGCUGGUCUGGAACUCAAAUGGAACCUGCCUGCCUCUGCUUCUAGACAGCAGACAGCAAACCCAGCUUCUACAUUGUGAGGGGUUUUGUUUGCUUAUAAUGAAUUUAUGGUGUUUUUUGUUUUGGUUUGUCCUUAAGGUUUUUUUGUCUGAGAUUUAAGAUCAUUAAAUAUUCCUUGCGGAUAUUACAAAAACUAAGCAUUUUAAGCAUAAGUUUUAUCGUGAAGAUAUGAGUUGUUGCCAGUUUCGACACUUAAAAAAUAACACGGGCUGGGCGAUGGUAGCGAAGCCUUUAAUCCCAAUGCUGAGAAGGCAGAGGCAGGCAGAUUUCUGUGAGUUUGAGGCCAGCCUGGUGUUCAGAGCUAGUUCCAGGGCAGCCGGGGUGUUACACAGAACCCUAUGUCUCCUACCCCCUACCUCUUC